CCCCAACCACCCACAGCCCCUCAGUGGCACCCAGGGGUCCUCGGUGCCACCCACAGCCCCCCAGUGCCCCCCACAGCCCCCAGAGGCACCCAGGGGUCCUCAGUGGCCCCCAGGGGUCCUCAGUGCCCCCCACAGCCCCCCAGAGGGGCCCAGAGGUCUCAGUGCCACCCACAGCCCCCCACAGCCCCCCAGUGCCACCCAGGGGUCCUCAGUGGCUCCCAUGGGACCCUGGUUGGUGGUACCCACAGCCCCCCAGUGGCACUCAGGGGUCCUCAGUGCCACCCACAGCCCCUCAGCGCCCCCCACGGCCCCCCCUCACCUCUCCGCGCCCCCCUUCCUCCUCCCGCGCUGCGGCUGCUCUGUGCGCCCCGCGGUGGGCGCCGCCUCCUCAUCAGUGGCCACGAUAUAAUCGUAGAGCCCGCGGUUGAACUGCGUGAUGACGUGGCACCUGCGGAACCAGCCCGUGACCCCCACCCCCCAGGUGCCACCCAGGGGUCCUCAGUGCCCCCCACAGCCCCCCAGUGGCACCCAGGGGCCCUCAGUGCCACCCACAGCCCCCCAGUGGCACCCAGGGGUCCUCAGUGCCACCCACAGCCCCCCAGUGGCACCCGCAGCCCCCCAGUGCCACCAAUGGCCCCCCAGUGCCACCCAGGGGUCCUCAGUGCCACCCAGGGGUCCUCAGUGCCACCCACAGCCCCUCAGUGGCACCCGCAGCCCCCCAGUGCCACCAAUGGGUCCCCCCAGUGCCACCCACAGCCCCCCAGUGGCACCAAUGGGUCCUCAGUGCUCCCCACAGCCCCUCAGUGCCACCCAUGGGUCCCCAGUGCCACCAAUGGGUCCUCAGUGCCCCCCAGGGGUCCUCAGUGGCACCAAUGGGUUCUCAGUGGCACCCACAGCCCCCCAGUGUCACCCAGGGGUCCCCAGUGCCACCAAUGGCCCCCCAGCGUCACCCAGGGGCCCUCAGUGGACCCUUCCCCACCCCGCAGCCCCCCCAACCCCAUCCCCAACCCCUAUCGGUACCGGGAGCGCGCGGGCAGCUCGGAAUUGAGGGCGCAGGCGGGGAUCCCAAACUGCUCCAGGAAGAGUUUGAGGCGGUAGCAGCGGCUGAGGCUGCUGACGAAGAGCAGCGGCCCGGCCCCGCAGCAGCGCCAGCUUCAGCACGGCGUACAGCAGCAGGAAUUUGUCCUCCUCCUCCUCGCAGCGCACCACCAACUGCCGCAGCUGAGAGCUGCCCGGCAACCGCGGCUCCUGCGGGCGCACCGCCACCUGGGGGGGGGGGA
ensembl:lncRNA